rnacentral:lncRNA from 1 species
AUAUGGGAGUUUUCUCCUGCUCUUAAAAGUUUUUAAAUUAUAUAAAUCAUUGUACUUCAAUGACAGAAGGUGAACAAACAGAGCUUACAUCAAGUGAAGACUUUAACGUUUCUGACAUGUUGAUAACUUCAUUUAAGUCACACUACCAAUACUUAGAGGCCUCCCUCCCUCCAGGCUCCUUGGUGGAAGAGAGGAACAGCAGGAGGCAACCAGAACUAUCAAGCAUCACAGACUGCAUGCAGCUUCUCAUCCUUUUUCAGAGCACAGUAUCAACAUUUAUUUUUGUACAAGUUUCAACUGGCUGCUGAGAACAGGGAAAUAGCUGUAUAACCCAGGAGUUUUACUCACCACAGAACUCAGUCCCUAGAACUGCAGGACACUUCAUAUGCCAGGUCCAUCUUGCAGAAGUAGAUUAGGCAGACUCAGCCGCUCGUUUCCGCCUGCUCUAAACAGACACGUUAGUUCUCCGCAACAGAAAUAAACUACCUUUUUCUCUUCUGUUCUCUUUGGAUCUCUGUGAUUGCUGAAGUUGAGCUGAUUUUAGUGACAGAGGGAAGAAAAAGCCACCCCCUGCUCUGCUUUGCAAACUGCCAUUCAUUUCAG